CCACCUCGCGGUGUGUUAAAGCUUUGACGAAUUUACACUUCCAUUGGAAACGCACCGAAUGGGACGGUCGUAGCAACGGCGCGUUGCCGGUAACU
rnacentral:lncRNA from 1 species